GUGAAAUUGUUGAAAGGGAAGCGCUUGCAACCAGACCUGCCUGCAGUUGCUCAUCCGGGCUUUUGCCCGGUGCACUCUUCUGCUGUCAGGCCAGCAUCGGUUCGGGCGGUCGGAUAAAGGCUUCGGGAAUGUAGCUCCUCUCGAGGAGUGUUAUAGCCCGUUGCGAAAUGCGGCCAGCCUGAACUGAGGUCCGCGCUUCGGCUAGGAUGCUGGCGUAAUGGUUGUAAGCGGCCCGUCUUGAAACACGGACCAAGGAGUCUAACAUCUGUGCGAGUGUUUGGGUGUCAAACCCGUACGCGUAAUGAAAGUGAACGGAGGCGGGAACCCCUCGGGGUGCACCGUCGACCGAUCCUGAUGUCUUCGGAUGGAUUUGAGUAAGAGCAUAGCUGUUGGGACCCGAAAGAUGGUGAACUAUGCCUGAAUAGGGUGAAGCCAGAGGAAACUCUGGUGGAGGCUCGCAGCGGUUCUGACGUGCAAAUCGAUCGUCAAAUUUGGGCAUAGGGGCGAAAGACUAAUCGAACUAUCUAGUAGCUGGUUCCUGCCGAAGUUUCCCUCAGGAUAGCAGUAACGUUUUCAGUUUUAUGAGGUAAAGCGAAUGAUUAGAGGCCUGGGGGUUGAAACAACCUUCACCUAUUCUCAAACUUUAAAUAUGUAAGAAGUCCUUGUUACUUAGUUGAACGUGGA
rnacentral:rRNA from 1 species